GACGAACGCUGGCGGCGUGCUUAACACAUGCAAGUCGAACGGUAAGGCCCUUCGGGGUACACGAGUGGCGAACGGGUGAGUAACACGUGGGUGAUCUGCCCUGCACUUCGGGAUAAGCCUGGGAAACUGGGUCUAAUACCGGAUAGGACCACUGCCUGCAUGGGUGGUGGUGGAAAGCUUUUGCGGUGUGGGAUGGGCCCGCGGCCUAUCAGCUUGUUGGUGGGGUGAUGGCCUACCAAGGCGACGACGGGUAGCCGGCCUGAGGGGGUGACCGGCCACACUGGGACUGGGAUACGGCCCAGACUCCUACGGGAGGCAGCAGUGGGGAAUAUUGCACAAUGGGCGCAAGCCUGAUGCAGCGACGCCGCGUGAGGGAUGACGGCCUUCGGGUUGUAAACCUCUUUCAGCACCGACGAAGCGCAAGUGACGGUAGGUGCAGAAGAAGGACCGGCCAACUACGUGCCAGCAGCAGCCGCAG
rnacentral:rRNA from 1 species